GCGCACGCUGGGGGCGUGCUUAACCCAUGCAAGUCGAACGGUGAAGCGCCUUCCUUUUUGGUGGGUGUGGAUGAGUGGCGAACGGGUGAGUAACACGUGAGUAACCUGCCCCCUUCUUCUGGAUAACCGCAUGAAAGUGUGGCUAAUACGGGAUAUUCUGGGUCUGUCGCAUGAUGGGUCUGGGAAAGAUAUUGUUUCGGUGGGGGAUGGGCUCGCGGCCUAUCAGCUGGUUGGUGGGGUGAUGGCCUACCAAGGCGGUGACGGGUAGCCGGCCUGAGAGGGUGGACGGUCACACUGGGACUGAGACACGGCCCAGACUCCUACGGGAGGCAGCAGUGGGGAAUAUUGCACAAUGGGCGCAAGCCUGAUGCAGCGACGCCGCGUGAGGGAUGGAGGCCUUCGGGUUGUGAACCUCUUUCGCCAGUGAAGCAGGCCUGCCUCGUUUGUGGGUGGGUUGACGGUAGCUGGAUAAGAAGCGCCGGCUAACUACGUG
rnacentral:rRNA from 1 species